CCUACGGGUGGCUGCAGUAGGGAAUAUUGCUCAAUGGGCGAAACCCUGAUGCAGCAACGCCGCGUGGAGGAUGAAGGUUUUCGGAUUGUAAACUCCUUUUGUUAGAGAAGAUAAUGACGGUUUCUAACUAAUAAUCACCUGCUAAUUCCUUGUCAGCAGCCGCGGUCAUACGACGGGCGCAAGCGUUCGUCGGUAACACUGGGCGUAAAGAGCUCCUAGGUUGGUUAGCAAGUCAGAUGGGAAAUCCUAUGGCUUAAUCAUAGAAUUGCAUUUGAAACUGUUAUUCUAGAGUCUGGGAGAGGUAGGUGGAAUUCUUGGUGUAGGGGUAAAAUCCGUAGAGAUCAAGAAGAAUACUCAUUGCGAAGGCGACCUGCUAGAACAUAACUGACGCUGAUGCGCGAAAGCGUGGGGAGCAAACAGGAUUAGAUACCCGUGUAGUC
rnacentral:rRNA from 1 species